GAGCUGGAUGCAUUAUGAUGACAGUGGUGAAAAGCCUGUCAUCACGUUGAACAAGAAGCUUAGCUACCUCUACCAGGGCCACAACAUGACCCAUGGCAGGUACGGGGAUUAACACCACCCCUGCUUUCUUCAUUUUUUUUCUUGAAAAAUAAAAAUUUUAAUGAUGGAGGGACAAAGUGCGCUCUAAAUAAAUAGAUAGAUAGAUCCAAAGAUAAAUUAGAGUGAUGUCAUUGCUUACCUAGCUGAGAAAUUAAUUUCUAGAAAAGGACUGGAAUAUAAAUUAAUAAUUAUUAAAGUUCUAGAAGAUAAGUUUUCAUCGGAUCGUCAUGUUCCAUGGGAAAAAAGAAGAAGAAGUCAAUGAUUCCAAUUACAGGUGUUCCAAUAUUAAGAGUUCGGUUUAUAUAUUGCUAGAAUUAUAUAUUUAAAUAUGUUUAAUUAAUUAUAUGAUCUCACUAAUUUUUUUUAAAAAAAACAUUGAUUAAAAAAAUAAUAUAAUUAUAAGGUUUUUUAAACAUAUAUUUUCAAAUUACAAACCCAAAAGCCAUACCACAAUACUUAAACAUAUUCUAAGUCUGAACUCUAGCAUCUAAGAUUCGUUUCUUUAAAACAAGUUUCCUCCAAUCUUCUAAGCUUUGAUUAAUUUACUAAAUUUGCAAUCUCUAAGAUUCUAGAUGCAGGCUUAAUAAAAAAACUUAAUUUCAAAUUAAUUUAAUAUUAAAAGAUAAAACUAGAAAAAAACAUAUAUUAAUUUAAAAAAUUUAUCAAAGUAUAAAAUAAAAAUAGAAAUAAUAAAAUAAUGAUAAAAUCUGAUAGGAAAAAACUUAAGAAUAAUGAAAUUAUAGAAAAAUCAAUUUUAAAAAUUAUUUCAAAUAAAAUAAAUAGUAAUCAAAAGAAUAUUGAUCAAAUCUGACGGAUAAAAAAAUAAACGAUGAUGAAAUUAAUUGAAAAAAAUCUAAUUUUAUAAAUGAUUUCAAAUAAAAAAAACAAUAAUCAAAUAUGAAGGAAAAACAAAUUGAAAUGCUACUUUUAAAAUUUAGAGGGUUAUAUGUGUGCAGUAAUCAAGGAGAAGAGUGAAAAGAAGGGAAUAAAGAGAGAAAAGAUCAUCGGCAUCAAGUUAGAGAUCAAUAAGCCAUAUACGUCAUUUAAGGAUGGAGGAGCUGCCGAGACAAUUCGAAUACCAUUCAAAAAGUCAUUGUUUGAUCGUCUAACGCCUCUUUACUCGUGUUCUGAAUGGCGCAUAAACAAUCCAUGCAAUAACGCGUGUAAUUAAUGCACGGGAC
rnacentral:lncRNA from 1 species